GCCGCGGUCGCAUAGCCUGGCCAUUGCGGUGAUUCGCAAUUCACUGUCCGAAAGGGCACGGGAGUUCAAAUCUCCCCCGCGGCG
rnacentral:tRNA from 1 species